GACGAACGCUGGCGGCGUGCCUAAUACAUGCAAGUAGAACGCUGAAGAGAGGAGCUUGCUCUUCUUGGAUGAGUUGCGAACGGGUGAGUAACGCGUAGGUAACCUGCCUGGUAGCGGGGGAUAACUAUUGGAAACGAUAGCUAAUACCGCAUAAAAUGGAUUAUCGCAUGAUAAUCCAUUGAAAGGUGCAAAUGCAUCACUACCAGAUGGACCUGCGUUGUAUUAGCUAGUUGGUGGGGUAACGGCUCACCAAGGCGACGAUACAUAGCCGACCUGAGAGGGUGAUCGGCCACACUGGGGCUGGGACACGGCCCAGACUCCUACGGGAGGCAGCAGUAGGGAAUCUUCGGCAAUGGACGGAAGUCUGACCGAGCAACGCCGCGUGAGUGAAGAAGGUUUUCGGAUCGUAAAGCUCUGUUGUAAGAGAAGAACGAGUGUGAGAGUGGAAAGUUCACACUGUGACGGUAUCUUACCAGAAAGGGACGGCUAACUACGUG
rnacentral:rRNA from 1 species